rnacentral:rRNA from 1 species
GACGAGUCUCACGAACGUUAUUCGGAAUUACUGGGCUUAAAGGGUGCGUAGGCGGUGGAGUAAGUCGGAUGUGAAAUACCUUAGCUUAACUAGGGAACUGCACUCGAUACUACUUUGCUAGAGUAAGACAGAGGUGAGUGGAACUGAGGGUGGAGCGGUGAAAUGCGUUGAUAUCCUCAGGAACACCGGUGGCGAAGGCGACUCACUGGGUCUUUACUGACGCUGAUGGCACGAAAGCUAGGGUAGCAAACGGG